CGAACGCUGGCGGCAGGCUUAACACAUGCAAGUCGAACGCUGUAGCAAUACAGAGUGGCAGACGGGUGAGUAACACGUGGGAAUCUACCCAUCCCUACGGAACAACUCCGGGAAACUGGAGCUAAUACCGUAUACGCCCCUUGAUGGUGGACAUUGAGGGGGAAAGAUUUAUCGGGGAUGGAUGAGCCCGCGUUGGAUUAGCUAGUUGGUGGGGUAAAGGCCUACCAAGGCGACGAUCCAUAGCUGGUCUGAGAGGAUGAUCAGCCACAUUGGGACUGAGACACGGCCCAAACUCCUACGGGAGGCAGCAGUGGGGAAUAUUGGACAAUGGGCGCAAGCCUGAUCCAGCCAUGCCGCGUGUGUGAUGAAGGCCUUAGGGUUGUAAAGCACUUUCACCGGAGAAGAUAAUGACGGUAUCCGGAGAAGAAGCCCCGGCUAACUUCGUGCCAGCAGCCGCGGUAAUACGAAGGGGGCUAGCGUUGUUCGGAAUUACUGGGCGUAAAGCGCACGUAGGCGGAUAUUUAAGUCAGGGGUGAAAUCCCAGAGCUCAACUCUGGAACUGCCUUUGAUACUGGGUAUCUUGAGUAUGGAAGAGGUGAGUGGAAUUGCGAGUGUAGAGGUGAAAUUCGUAGAUAUUCGCAGGAACACCAGUGGCGAAGGCGGCUCACUGGUCCA
rnacentral:rRNA from 1 species